GCGUCUGUAGCCUAGUUGGUAAAGGCAGCACUCUAGAUGCUGAGGUCAUGGGUUCAACUCCCAUCAGACACA
rnacentral:tRNA from 1 species